GUCUACGGCCAUGCCACCCUGAACAAGCCCGAUCCUGUCUGAUCUCGGAAGCUAAGCAGAGUCAGGCCUGGUUAGUACUUGGAUGGGAGACCACCUAGGAAGACCAGGUGCUGUAGGCG
rnacentral:rRNA from 1 species